rnacentral:rRNA from 1 species
UACGGAGGGUGCAAGCGUUAUCCGGAUUUAUUGGGUUUAAAGGGUCCGUAGGCGGACUGGUAAGUCAGUGGUGAAAUCCUGCAGCUCAACUGUAGAACUGCCAUUGAUACUGCCGGUCUUGAAUUCGGUUGAAGUGGGCGGAAUAUGGCAUGUAGCGGUGAAAUGCUUAGAUAUGCCAUAGAACACCGAUUGCGAAGGCAGCUCACUAAGCCUGGAUUGACGCUGAUGGACGAAAGCGUGGGUAGCGAACAGG